UACAGAGGGUGCGAGCGUUGUUCGGAAUUAUUGGGCGUAAAGCGCGUGUAGGCGGUUUGUUAAGUCUGAUGUGAAAGCCCUGGGCUCAACCCAGGAAGUGCAUUGGAUACUGGCAGACUUGAAUACGGGAGAGGGCAGUGGAAUUCCUGGUGUAGGAGUGAAAUCCGUAGAUAUCAGGAGGAACACCGGUGGCGAAGGCGGCUGCCUGGACCGAUAUUGACGCUGAGACGCGAAAGCGUGGUAGCAACAGG
rnacentral:rRNA from 1 species